GUGUCAGCAGCCGCGGUAAUACAGAGGGUGCGAGCGUUGUCCGGAAUCACUGGGCGUAAAGGGCGCGUAGGUGGCCUGGUAAGUAGGGGGUGAAAUCUCGUGGCUCAACUGCGAGGCUGCCUCCUAAACUGUCAGGCUUGAGCAGAGUAGAGGCAGGUGGAAUUCCCGGUGUAGCGGUGGAAUGCGUAGAGAUCGGGAAGAACAUCGGUGGCGAAGGCGGCCUGCUGGGCUCUUGCUGACACUGAGGCGCGACAGCGUGGGGAGCAAACAGGAUUAGAAACCCCGGUAGUCC
rnacentral:rRNA from 1 species